rnacentral:lncRNA from 1 species
UGUGGAGUAAAGGUCUUACCUUUCGAUUUUUUCCAUCUUUCCUUUUUUGUUCGUUGAUUUUUCCUUUGUUUGCCUCUGAUUUUUCCUCUGAUUUUUCUAUCCUCAGCAGUUUCAAUUAGGUAGGAGGCUUGGAGUGGCCGAAUAGAUAGUCUCUCGUGCUUAGCAUUAAUUGUCAUUCCUCUCCACUGCUAGCAUCCUUCUAGUCGACCACCAAGCCA